rnacentral:rRNA from 1 species
GACGAACGCUGGCGGCGUGCUUAACACAUGCAAGUCGAACGGAAAGGCCCUGCUUUUGUGGGGUGCUCGAGUGGCGAACGGGUGAGUAACACGUGAGUAACCUGCCCUUGACUUUGGGAUAACUUCAGGAAACUGGGGCUAAUACCGGAUAGGAGCUCCUGCUGCAUGGUGGGGGUUGGAAAGUUUCGGCGGUUGGGGAUGGACUCGCGGCUUAUCAGCUUGUUGGUGGGGUGGUGGCUUACCAAGGCUUUGACGGGUAGCCGGCCUGAGAGGGUGACCGGCCACAUUGGGACUGAGAUACGGCCCAGACUCCUACGGGAGGCAGCAGUGGGGAAUAUUGCACAAUGGGUGGAAGCCUGAUGCAGCAACGCCGCGUGCGGGAUGACGGCCUUCGGGUUGUAAACCGCUUUCGCCUGUGACGAAGCGUGAGUGACGGUAAUGGGUAAAGAAGCACCGGCUAACUACGUG